GAACGCGAAGAACCUUACCCGGGAUUGAAAUUUAGAUGGCGGCAGAUGAGAGUUUGCUUUCCUUCGGGACAUCUAAGUAGGUGCUGCAUGGUUGUCGUCAGCUCGUGCCGUGAGGUGUCGGCUUAAGUGCCAUAACGAGCGCAACCCGCGUCGAUAGUUACUAACAGGUUAAGCUGAGGACUCUAUCGAGACAGCCGUCGUAAGACGAGAGGAAGGGGCGGAUGACGUCAAAUCAGCACGGCCCUUACAUCCGGGGCGACACACGUGUUACAAUGGCAGGGACAAAGGGAAGCGACAUGGUGACAUGAAGCGGAUCUCCGAACCCUGUCCCAGUUCGGAUCGGAGUCUGCAACUCGACUCCGUGAAGCUGGAUUCGCUAGUAAUCGCGCAUCAGCCAUGGCGCGGUGAAUACGUUCCCGGGUCUUGUACACACC
rnacentral:rRNA from 1 species